AUUGAACGCUGGCGGCAUGCCUAACACAUGCAAGUCGAGCGGAGCGGCGGACGGGUGAGUAAUGCCUAGGAAUCUGCCUGGUAGUGGGGGAUAACGUCCGGAAACGGGCGCUAAUACCGCAUCCUAUCAGAUGAGCCUAGGUCGGAUUAGCUAGUUGGUGGGGUAAAGGCCUCGCAAGGCGACGAUCCGUAACUGGUCUGAGCGGAUGAUCAGUCACACUGGAACUUAGACACGGUCCAGACGCCUACGGGAGGCAGCAGUGGGGAAUGUUGGACAAGUGGCGCAAGCCUGAUCCAGCCAUGACGCGUGUGUGAAGAAGGUCUUCGGAUUUUAAAGCACUUAAAGUUGGGAGGCGUUACCAACAGAAUAAGCACCGGCUAACUUCGUGCCAGCAGCCGCGGUAAUAC
rnacentral:rRNA from 1 species